GGGAUUGCCUCAGUAACGGCGAGUGAAGCGGCAAGAGCUCAAAUUUGAAAUCUGGCCCCUCCGGGGUCCGAGUUGUAAUUUGUAGAGGAUGCUUCGGGUGCGGCCCCCGUCUAAGUGCCCUGGAACGGGCCAUCGGAGAGGGUGAGAAUCCCGUCUGGGACGGGGUGUCCGCGUCCAUGUGAAGCUCCUUCGACGAGUCGAGUUGUUUGGGAAUGCAGCUCUAAAUGGGUGGUAAAUUUCAUCUAAAGCUAAAUACUGGCCGGAGACCGAUAGCGCACAAGUAGAGUGAUCGAAAGAUGAAAAGCACUUUGAAAAGAGAGUUAAACAGCACGUGAAAUUGUUGAAAGGGAAGCGCUUGCGACCAGACUCGCUUCCGGGGUUCAGCCGGCUUUCGGGCCGGUGUACUUCCCCGGGGGCGGGCCAGCGUCGGUUUGGGCGGCCGGUCAAAGGCCCCUGGAAUGUAACGCCUCUCGGGGCGCCUUAUAGCCAGGGGUGUCAUGCGGCCAGCCUGGACCGAGGAACGCGCUUCGGCACGGACGCUGGCAUAAUGGUCGUAAACGACCCGUCUUGAAACACGGACCAAGGAGUCUAACAUCUACGCGAGUGUUCGGGUGUCAAACCCGUGCGCGCAGUGAAAGCGAACGGAGGUGGGAGCCCCCUCGCGGGGCGCACCAUCGACCGAUCCUGAUGUCUUCGGAUGGAUUUGAGU
rnacentral:rRNA from 1 species